UUAGCGGCAAACGGGUGAGUAACACGUGGGCAAUCUGCCCUCUGGAGCGGGACAACAGACCGAAAGGCCUGCUAAUACCGCAUGAGGCCUAAAUGUCGCAUGGCAAUUAGGUCAAAGGGGAAACCCGCCGGAGGAGGAGCCCGUGUCCCAUUAGCUAGUUGGCGGUGUAACUGACCACCAAGGCGAUGAUGGGUAGCCGGCCUGAGAGGGUGAACGGCCACAUUGGGACUGAGACACGGCCCAGACUCCUACGGGGGGCAGCAGUGAGGGAUUUUCGGCAAUGGGCGAAAGCCUGACCGAGCGACGCUGCGUGAGCGAAGAAGGCCUUCGGGUCGUAAAGCUCUGUCUAGGGGGACGAGGAAGGACGGUACCCCUGGAGGAAGCCACGGCUAACUACGUGCCGGCAGCCGCGGUAAUACGUAGGUGGCGAGCGUUGUCCGGAAUUACUGGGCGUAAAGGGCGCGCAGGCGGUUCGUUAAGUCCAAGGUGAAAUCCCACGGCUCAACUGUGGGGGGACCCUGGAUACUGGCGGGCUGGAGUGCGGGAGAGGGAAGCGGAAUUCCACGUGCAACGGUGAAAUGUAUAGAUAUGUGGAGGAACACCGGUGGCGAAGGCGGCUUCCUGGACCGUAACUGACGCUGAGGCGCGAAAGCUGGGGGAGCGAACAGGAUUAGAUACCCUGGUAGUCCCAGCCGUAAACUAUGAACACUAGGUGUGGGGGGUAUCGACCCCUUCCGUGCCGCAGCUAACGCAAUAAGUGUUCCGCCUGGGGAGUACGGCCGCAAGGUUGAAACUCAAAGGAAUUGACGGGGGCCCGCACAAGCGGUGGAGUAUGUGGUUUAAUUCGAAGCAACGCGAAGAACCUUACCAAGGCUUGAC
rnacentral:rRNA from 1 species